CGACACGGGGGUGUGUGAAGAAGGCGGGAUUUUAAGCUUUCCUGCUCCUGCGAAAAUGUCGAUGGAUUAGCAGGUAAAGGAACGGCAGAACAAGCGAUCCGAAGAAGAUGAUCCCAGUGGCAGUGGAAGAUGCUGGAUGCGUGCCAGCAACACUGCAUCACACUUGGUGGGAGGGGAGGAAAACGGGAUUUCAUCACCCAGGAAGUGUCACCCACCCCUUACCAACGGGCCGGAGGGACAGUUAGCAGUGGCGCAGUUGCAGUCGCAGUGACUCAGUAGCAGUGACUUAUGAUGUGUUCCAGAUGCCUCUUACACCACCCGCACGAGUUGCUCUUGUGGCGUAAUUUCCUGGCUUGUAACACUUAUAGCCUUCCUGUUUGUCUUUGUGAUUGCGUCAUGUCAUUGGCUAGUCAUUGUUAGCCACAUUAGCCUCUCUAGCAAACCAGCUAGAAGAAAAACACAACUUUACAUUGUAUUUCACGCACAGCAAGACCGUGCAAUGCAUAAAUUGAUGACCGGAAUAACGAAGAAAUGUAAUCAAGUGUGUAAGAGCAUUUAAAAUCGACAUUAAAAUGACCAAUGACCGGGUACGAAUACAAAGAAAAUAAAUCCAAUUUUUGGACCAGCCAUUUUUGUUGUCGAGUUGUACGGUCAACCUCACUGAACUCUGUAUAGGCCUACUCUCAGAAUCAACCAAAACUUUUGGUCGG
ensembl:lncRNA